rnacentral:rRNA from 1 species
GACAGAGGUGCCGAGCGUUAGGCGGAAUCACUGGGCUUAAAGCGUGUGUAGGCGGACCGUUAAGUACCUUGUGAAAUCCCACGGCUCAACCGUGGAACCGCUGGGUAUACUGGCGGUCUUGAGGCACCCAAGGGCUGUCGGAACAAGCGGUGGAGCGGUGAAAUGCGUAGAUAUCGUAAGGAAGACCAGUGGCGAAGGCGGGUCUCUGGACAGUUCCUGACGCUGAGGCACGAAGGUCAGGGGAGCAAACGGG